CAGCAGCCGCGGGAAAACGAAGGGGGCUAGCGUUGUUCGGAAUUACUGGGCGUAAAGGGCGCGUAGGCGGCCAUUCAAGUUAGAUGUGAAAUCCCCGGGCUUAACCUGGGAACUGCAUUUGUGACUGGCGGGCUAGGGUAUGGCAGAGGGGGGUAGAAUUCCACGUGUAGCAGUGAAAUGCGUAGAGAUGUGGAGGAAUACCGAUGGCGAAGGCAGCCCCCUGGGCCAAUACUGACGCUCAUGCACGAAAGCGUGGGGAGCAAACAGGAUUAGAUACCCGUGUAGUCCCUGUCUCUUAUAC
rnacentral:rRNA from 1 species